GAUGAACGCUAGCGGGAGGCUUAACACAUGCAAGCCGAGGGAGAAGUUGUUUUCGGACUGCGGACACCGGCGGACGGGUGAGUAACAUGUAUGCAACUUUCCUCUAUCAGUGGUAUAACCCGGGUAAACCCGGACUAAUUCCGCAUAACAAAUAGAUCAGCAUUGAUUUAUUUUAAAAGAUUUAUCGGAUAUAGAUAGGCGUGCGUAGGAUUAGUUAGUUGGUUAGUUAACGGCUAACCAAGACGCUGAUCCUUCGGUGGGCUGAGGGGCUGAUACCCCAGAACGGUACGGAGGCACGGACCAGACUCCGACGGGAGGCAGCAGUGAGGAAGAUUAGACGAUGGGGGAGGGCCUGAUCCAGCCACCCCGGGUGCAGGAAGACGGCCCUAUGGGUUGUAAACUGCUUUUAAACAGGAAUAACCCUACUCACGUGUGAGUAGCUGAAGGUACUGUAAGAAUAAGCACCGGCUAACUUCGUG
rnacentral:rRNA from 1 species